GUUUAUCCAAGAGCAUCCCACAACCGCUUUGAACACUCUACUGGGGUGGGAUACUUAGCAGGAGAGCUUGCUAAAGCCCUCAAGGUGAAGCAGCCAGAACUUGAUAUCAGUGAACGAGAUGUCCUCUGUGUGCAAAUUGCAGGUCUUUGCCAUGACCUGGAAAAGAGAGGAACCGAAAAUGUCGGGGGUAAGAAUGAGAACAGCUCAUAAAACAAGAUUAACAAAACAAUAAUAAUACCUCACAUGUUAUUAUGCUUCACAAGAUGAAGGAAAGUUUUUAAUAAAAAACUGGUUGAAGACAUUCCUGAGGGCGGGAAAGACGAGUUUGUGGUUAUUGUUGUUCCAUUGGACUCUGAAGAAAGACAAUGACCCCAUCAGUAACAUUUUUCUAUCACAAGGAUAAGCCUGACAAAGCAAUCUCCGAAUCAGAGGUGAGAACUACAGCUUUUAUUUCCAUGUGUUGUGUGUUCUUUUUUUAUGCAGCUCCAUAAGACAACAUUGGCUGUGUAAUAUGUCAUUUUUAUGCUGCUGUCCUCGAUGUCAGGUGUCCAAGCUUCUCCCAGAGCACAUUUCUGACGAGAUACUUAGGGUUUACUGGAAGAACCAUGAAGGAGUGUAAGAAAAAGAGAGAAAAAAUAAAGAAAAAGAGGUCACAAAAUUCUUUAAAAGCUGGUGCAAGGACUAUGGCUUCAAAGUAUUACUUACCUAAUUUUGUCUAACUGCAUCGAUUGGUAUUACUACAUAAUAAGCCAAAAGAUCAUUGUGUAGGCAGGAAAGCUGCUGUUAAAAACUGUCUUAUCUUGUCACAUCCCUGAAUUCAGAUUACACUUCAUAACUCUGAUGUCUUGGUAUUAAUAAUAACCUUUAUUUAUAAAUAUAUAGAAUGCAAAAGAGGAUGGUGGCAAUGACAGUCGAACUCCAGUCGAUCUGAACAUGUGAAAGAUUCAGAUAUCACGUUUUUGUGUGACUGUAGGGAUUUUAAUAUAGUUGGUUUGAA